rnacentral:lncRNA from 1 species
CCGAGUAGUUAUGUUGUGAGCCACAGAGGAAGUCUCAUUCCAGGUAACUCUUGGAGAUCCAAAUAUAUACUACCUGCCCUGGGGAGGGUGCUUGGAGAAGGCUUCAGGAGGAGGCAAACUUUGUUUAAAGGAUGGAUAGGAUUGUAUGUGGCAGGCAGGAAAACAGGGACAUUUGGUUUAGGCUGAGGGGGCAGCAAAGUGCAAAGAAGAAGAGGUAAGGAAGGGCAUGAGUGUCCACGGAAGGCUAGGGAGGCUGGCGUGGCUGGAACACGGGAUGCGGCGGCUGGAGCGAGUGGAGGUGAGGUGCUCUGGGCAGGACAGGGUUUAGAUCUGUCUGCCAUGCUAAGCAGGAAGGCACUUCUCCUCUGGGUGACUAGGGGCAGGGGAGUGACAUGACUAGACAUGGCUUUUAGGAAGACCACUCUGAUUGCAGGGCAGAGGGUAGGAAGGGGGAGAGGGUCAAAUUGGGGUGGUCCCUCUGGAAACCCCCGUGGAGCAAGAUGCAGGGGAUGUGAGUGAGAUGGGAACACACAGCUCAACAAUGGUGUAGGGGAGGUGAAGUCAUGUGGGGUGUGGAGGGGAAUGCUUCUUUCCACAUUUGGUAUUCCCUUCUACAUGGACGAGGCUCCCUUAUACAACCCCCCCAGCAUGAGCCCAGCUCUGACCCUGGGACCUGCCUCAGUCCCAUGAAGCUGCAUGGCGGUCAGUCCAAUACUGGGCUCCAAAAAGAGGGACCCUGCUUAAUCAGAUUUGUAGUACACAACCUCCAGGGUCAGUUAUCAGGAAAUAGAUGAUGUGUUGGUUCUCUACAUGCUGACUCUCUUGUCUUAUUUCUCAAGUAAUUCAGAGCUGGGCAGAGAAGAGAGUUUUAUUAUUGGAUCUCCUCAAAGAGUCAAGAGAACACCCUUGAUGCUGGCCUUGACAUUAUAGAGCUAUUGAAUGGAUGCCAGCAACCACUUCCCUCAAGAUUACCUGAUAUGUGAGCAAGAUAAAGCCUUGUUUGUUCAACUGAUGGGUGCACAUCAGGCUUUCUGAUAAAUUGAGUGAAUGCCUUCCUAGUACAGGAAGGCCGUGACACCAUUAAAUCAGGACCUCCGGAGAAGACAGGGCUGAAGAUUAGGGUUGGGGAGCCAUCAGUGUUUAGAUGGAAGUGGAAGUUGGGGGGGGAGGGUGAGUGACCAAUGAGAAGAAUCCAGGAAUGACAGACAUUUCAAGAGCCGAAGAUUGGGACAAAGCAGCCGAGGAGGCAAGUGUGAUAGAUGCCACGAUGCCCUCCCUCUGGGCAUUCGACCCACUCGUUCAUUCAGUGCUUGUUUACCAAAGGACAACUCAUUGCUAGAUGCAAAUCUUGCAUAAGGCCAUAGGCUAGUGGCCUAAGCAGUCCUCUUGGGAAUGGGGCUGUCUGGUUUCUGGGGAUCCCCACUUAGCAUUUCCAUGUGUACGGGAGAGGACCUGUCCCACUACUAAAUGAACCACUGAGCAGGGUUCAACCCUGAGUGUAGGAGAAAAUGUCCCAAUAAAAUGUAGAAAGGAGAGACCCCAGCCAUGAUGACUAAGCAAAGUCUAGUCAACUGCCCAACCAGUCCUCCCCCAUGCAUCUGCUUCCGCAUCUACUACCUUGCCUGACGUCACUCCAGUCCAACUAGUCAAGCUUGGACCCGGAAGACGUAGCCCAUAAAAGCCUUGUGAAACCCUUCUUCCGGGCUCAGACUCUGGAGAGCGAUCCCCUCUGAGCCCGCCGGCGUAAUAAAACUGAGUUCUCCAACUCUCUGAGUGCUUGCUUGGUUUCUCGCCGGGUAAAAGAGCUGCAGCCACAAAGCUGCUGGAGCUGGUACGCUACAGCCACGGGGCUGUCGCCAGAGCUGAUACACUGCAGCGCAGGGCUGCUGGGUAUCUGCCGUAACAUGAGAACUCCAGGAGUCUUGGAAAAAACAUGGAACAUAACAGGGUCUAUACUUGCCUUUACAAAUGUCAGCGUUUUCUGUGUAACUGGUGAGUAUGAGCAGGUUACUGCGGUGCCGAUGUUCUUUCUUUAUGGAGCCCCUGUCUCUUUCACUUCUUGAUGGAGAACAGGACUUUGAUGAUCUGAUUGGAGGGGAGGUGCCUACAAUAGAAAUCUUCCACCCCUCUGUCCCCACGGUACACUUCACUAGUGGUCUUAAUUCUUUACCCCUCUUUCUAUCCAGCCCCUUUUCAUAUGCUUUGCAAUGUCCUCUUUGUGGUUGGGGAUGCUUUUUUGUCACUGGGCUCAUCUCAUUGCAAUGACUUAUUUUGGCUCAAUGCUAUAUUAGCAGCUGAGACCCAGGUGGAGACUUGAGAGAGUAGCUUUGUCUUCUUGUACCUCUGCCAUCGCCAUGAGGAGACCAUGCCUGAGCUAGCUGCUGAUCCCAGGAGGGGAAUGAGAGAACGUGGAGCAGGGCUUGACCACACCAGCCAAACCCAUAAGCAAUUGGGGGCCCUCCACUGACCUGCAGAUUAUGAACAUAAAUGAUGACUGUUGUAAGUCCCUGGGCUUUGAGGUGGAUGGUUAUGCAGACUUUGCAGCAGGAGUUAAACCAAAACAAUACCCAUGACACUGGCACUGUUUCCUGCUGAGCCUCUAGGUGGCCUCAGAUUCUUCCACCAUUAAUCCCUGCGAGUGUGCAGACCAGAUGAAUUGUUUGGCGAACUCCCAGGAGGUGAUGGGAGCCUCUGAAGGCUGCCCCAGGGAUCUGGGUGUGUUCACGAUGCCAGUGGGUGUCCCUGCCUCCUUUCCUUUGUUCUGUCUGCACUUGCUCUCCAAGGGCAGGUGGUACAGCCACUAGGAGUUAUUCUGCAUUCACAGGGCCUCUGAUUUAGUCUAUUUGGUCCUUUUUCUUAGCAUGUGUACUCAGGGCUUUUUACAACUUCAAAGAGCUUCUCACCCACAUUCACUAAUUAAUUCAUUACUCCUGUGAGUAAAACCUGAAGCAGUGAGAGAAGAGUGUCAUUAGCAAGAAUACCAGAGGCUCAUUAUUUCGAAUAGGUCGCCCAGAGCCAGGCUCCCUCUGCCAGAGCCUUAACCCCUUCUCAGCUGACAGGGGCUCUGCAGGCAAGUGUGUGCCAGUAUCAGAAUCCACUUGGAGGUUGCAAAGUACCUAUUGUGUGCUCAGCUAGCUACCCUGGAUGCCAUGGGGAUGGCAUGGCUUCUGACCUCAAGGACCUGAAGUCUAGUGAGAGCUCAGGCUCUGGAAUCAUGUAGACCUGAGUUUGAAUCCUGCCCAUUUAUAAGCCAUGUGGCCUGGGGAUUAGGAGGCCCUCUGAAUCAGUUUCCUCAUCUAUAAAAAGGGAUACUGUUACCUCUUUAGGGGCAAAGUGAGGAUAAGUAAUGUGAGACAAAUCAAAGGUACAGGGCAAGGCCUGGCGCCCAGUGAGUGCCGCACAGACGACAGCGUCUGCUGACAUCCCCCAGACCAAUGCCCUCCUGUGCACCCCUCAUCGCAAGCCUGGUGCAGGCAUACAGGACAGUGUGGCAGAGGAAAGGGACUUGGCAGAGGGUCGAGGCUUUGGGGAUGCCUAUAUUUCAGCGGUGAGUUGAGGAAGAAGGAGCAGAGAAGAAAAUCAAAAGGCUAGAGGGGUAGGAAGAAAUCAGGAGAAUGCAAGCACACAGGGGCUGCGAGAGGGUGGCGAGAAUGGUGAGGGAGGAAGGUGGUGGUCAGCUAGUGGUGCCCUGUGCUGAGGAGAGACAGACCAAGGACACUCGUCCAUUCAGUCACAGAGGGGUUACUAAGCGCCUGGAGUGGCCGUGAAAAUGCUCCUCCUGAGGAGGGCACGCUGACUGCCCAGCCCCCGCCACACAUAGGUGCCAGGGUGCAUUGCUCCAAGGCUGUUACCAGCCAGUGGCUGCAGACGGCUGUCUUCCUAUGGGCUGUGGACACGUCUGCUGGGCUCCCCAUCAGCCUGGCAAAACACUCUUGAACUUCCCUGCAGUCUAAGACCCUUCCUACCCAGUCCUUCCUCUCUGCUUUCACGGAUGUCAGAUCCAUAUCAUCGCCCCAAGCUUCACCUUGCUCUCCAUCUCCUUCAGCUGUCACAGGUGCUAUCCUUGAUACAUCUCUUGCACUUCUAGCUGCUUCUUUGCUUUGACUUUCCAGAAGACCUGGACUAACACACUGAGGCAGCACCUAAUGUGUGUCAUGCACUGCUUUAGGCACUGGGGUGCAGGGUGGCCGAGACAAAGGCUUCAAUGUCAUGUAGCUGGUGGCAGGGAUAGUGGAGAUAACAGAGGAUCAAUAUGCAAAGAAAGAAUGAUGCUAAUUUAGACAGGACCUUUCAGAGGACUGGCAGUCCAGUGGUGAGGGCGGGAACAAGGUUCUCAGGGACCAAGAUGCAGGUGGGUGACAAGGAAGUUGGAGCUGCAGGUACAGACAAUGCUUUUCAAGAGGUUUAGUGUUUAUAGAACAAAGAGAAGCAGCAGGAGCAGGAUUUUGAGGAGACUCUUGCUCGUGGGUAGUAUAGGCAGGCCAAAGACAGUCAGAUUGACAUGGCAAGAGGAGAGAUGGAAUAAUUGGUGAAAGGAAAUUCCAAACAUGGUAGAAGGUUAGAGCAUUUCAAUGGGUUGAAUGGUCACUGCUCACCCCCAACCCCCUCACCCCCCACAAAGAUGUGUCCAUGUCCUAAUACCCAGACCCUGUAAAUGUGGCCUUAUGCAGAAAAGGAGUCUCUGAAGAUGGAGUUAAGUUAUGGAUCUUGAGAUGAGAUGGUCCUGGAUUACCUGGGAGGCCCCAAGUCCAAUACUAAGUGUUUUUAUAAGAGACAAAAGAAGAUGCAUGAAGAGAAAGAGGCAGCGCCACCUCGGAGGAGACUGAGAUGGAAAGGAGGCUGUCAAAGUAGCCGAGGAUGGUGGGAGCCUCGGGGCCCCCAGCGGGAGCACAGCUCCACCGACACUUUCAGGACCUCAAGCCUUCAGAACUGUGACCAAAUAAAUUUCCAUUGUUUUAGGCCACAAGGCUAUAGGAAUUUGUUACAGUAGCGCUAGGAAGCUAAUGGAGGCAGGACCAACCCAAAGUGAUACCUCUCUCUCCAGAAAGCCUGGGCUCUCAACCUGUGUGGGGAGCACACACUGCCUGGGAAUACCUGGUUAACUGUAGGCUUUGUUCCCUCUCCCAUUGUUUUUGAACUUUCUACAUUCCCAUCUUAGGAGGCCAAACAUUGUAGGGAAAUACAUGGCCUUGGGAGACAGAUGUACUAGGCUUUGAAACACAGCCUCUUUGUUCUCUUGCUGCUUUGUUCUCACGUGACUAUAUAAAAAUCUAGAACAAGGACCUACUGCAUAGCACAAGGAACUACACUGUAUACCCAAAACUAACACAACAUUGUAAACCAACUAUAUUUCAAUAAACAUAAAAAAAAAAACGAAAAGAGCUGAAAAAAAAAGUUUCUGUAAAUAGUACAUUUGCAACAAACAUUUGUUGAUUGGUUAUGGGUUGACUGAUUGAUGGUAGACAUUAUCUAUUAUGGAGUAACAGCCAGGCAUUCAUCUCGGUGUUUAAGUUACUUAUUAAUUUAUCCUCAUGGAAGUUCUAAAGUAUAGAUGUAUGAGCUUUGCUUCACAGGUUAGAAAAGAGAUAGAGCCAUGACUGGCACUAAGAUCUGAUUCCUGGGUCUACUCCACUACUCUGAUGAAGAGACCCUCUAGGAAAGCAAGGAGGCACCUCUGUGCUCUUACUACCAGCUUCCUGACAGCUGGCCCCAAUCCAUUCUGCCGCAUCUGUCUGUGUUCCGCUAACCCCCAAGCCAAUAGCUGUUCUGCUUCCACCCCAGCUUUUCCAUCCAGUGUCAUCUUGCUCUGGCUUCUCCCACAGUGUGGGUAGGGCUAAAGUCUAUUGCUAAACCUGUGUCUUUCCAUGGAUCUUUUUGCAUAACGUUUAAUCACCAGUAAUGACUGUGAUUCGGCGGCACUCAUCUAGUGAACUUCAAGUUGGCGUUUCAAUUAAUUGUGCUGAUUGCUAGGCUUGGCCUUUCCUAUAUUUGCGAGAAGCUUAGCCUAAGAGCUGUCAGUUAAGGGACUUACUGGGGGCAGCAAAUAACGUCAUUACAGUUUUUUUUUGCUCUGGUUGAGAGGAAGGAAGAAAAGUUGACUGUCUCAGGCAGUUCUCUACUUGCGGAGAGGCUGGUGCCCAUGGCUACGUGUAACUGGCAGGAGGGCUUUGGUCCCCUCCCCUUGGGCCUCUCCUUCCCUGUCCUCUUCACCCCCCUUUCUUCUCCCCUACCCCCCUCCUCCCUUUCUUUCCUAGUCUUGCUUCUUCUUUCUUUCAUUCUUCAUUUCUUUCUUUCCUUAGCUAAAGUCUUUUUUUUUUUUUUUGUCUUUUGUCUUUUGUCUUUUUUGUUGUUGUUUUGUUGUUGUUG